CGUACAUCGACCUGAAUCCCGAAUCUUGAAUCAGUGAAUUGCCCUUGGUCCGGGACCAAGUGGAUUGAGGCAUUCCGCUGUGUACCGAGUUGAGGGAUAAGCUGCUACGGAGCUUGUGGAAACACGAAUUAAGGAGGUAGCAGUGGAGCAGGAGCCUCGGGCAAGAGGCCCGCAGAGUGAGCGAUGGAGCGUUUCUUAUUUUGCAUUUUGUUGGCCGUGUGGCCUAGGCUAG